rnacentral:lncRNA from 1 species
CUUGACAGUCAACUCCUGUGAUUUAUAGCUUUGCCCCAGGAAUGUGUUUAGCUCUCUCUUGCUGCACAAUCUCAAAGACUGGAGAAUGUGGAAGAUUGAGCCUCUGUGGGAUUAAAAGUGUCUGACACUGGAAUUUAUCAUCAACUGAAACUUUGGGUCCUCCAUCUCUGCAGCCUCAACUCCACAAACCUGACAGGUUUAAGGAGGAUGAUCGCGGUUCUCGGGAGGAUGGUUGGAACAGAUGGUCCCCAAAGAGGAAGACCCGUGAUGGCCUUUGAGGAUAGCAGUGUCCUUUGAACCCAGCAACUCUGGCUUGGUGGCCCUGCUCCUCUUCACAACCUGGGAGGCCACCUCUGUGGACCAGUCCUCCAUGCUGGCCCC